rnacentral:rRNA from 1 species
UACAGGGGGUGCAAACGUUGCUCGGAAUCAUUGGGCGUAAAGCGCACGUAGGCGGUCUGUUAUGUCGGAUGUGAAAAGCCCCCGGGCUCAACCCGGGAAGUGCACUCGAUACUGUCGAGCUAGAGUAUCGGAGAGGUUGGUGGAAUUCUCGGUGUAGAGGUGAAAUUCGUAGAUAUCGAGAGGAACACCGGUGGCGAAGGCGGCCUGCUGGGAUCGAGCUGACGCUGAGGCGCGACAGCGUGGGGAGCAAACAGG